rnacentral:piRNA from 1 species
UGGGCAUAAGGACUAGCCAGGUCUGUCUA